CCCCUAGAUGUUCUGGGCCGCACGCGCGCUACACUGAACAGUUCAACAAGUCUUAACCUUGGCCGAUAGGUCUGGGUAAUCUUUGAACGCUGUUCGUGAUUGGGAUAGACCUUUGCAAUUAUGGGUCUUCAACGAGGAAUUCCUAGUAAACGCAAGUCAUCAGCUUGCAUUGAUUGCGUCCCUGCCCUUUGUACACACCGCCCGUCGCACCUACCGAUUGAAUGGUCCGGUGAAAUCUCGGGACGGCGGCUUGGUCGCUUGCGUCCGACUGCUGAAACUUGAUUAAACCAUAUCAUUUAGAGGAAGGUGAAGUCGUANCA
rnacentral:rRNA from 1 species